rnacentral:rRNA from 1 species
GCACGAAGCCGGAAUCGCUAGUAAUCGCGGAUCAGAAUGCUGCGGUGAAUACGUUCCCGGGUCUUGUACACACCGCCCGUCACACCAUGGGAGUCGAUAACGCCCGAAGUCAGUGACCCAACCGAGAGGAGGGAGCUGCCGAAGGCGGGAUGGAUAACUGGGGUGAAGUCGUAACAAGGUAGC